UAUCAAUAAGCGGAGGAAAAGAAACCAACAGGGAUUGCCCUAGUAACGGCGAGUGAAGCGGCAACAGCUCAAAUUUGAAAUCGGCCCACCGGUCGAGUUGUAAUUUGCAGAGGAUGCUUCUGGGCAGCGGCCGGUCUAAGUUCCUUGGAACAGGACGUCAUAGAGGGUGAGAAUCCCGUAUGCGACCGGCGCGCACCCUCCACGUAGCUCCUUCGACGAGUCGAGUUGUUUGGGAAUGCAGCUCUAAAUGGGAGGUAAAUUUCUUCUAAAGCUAAAUACCGGCCAGAGACCGAUAGCGCACAAGUAGAGUGAUCGAAAGAUGAAAAGCACUUUGGAAAGAGAGUUAAAAAGCACGUGAAAUUGUUGAAAGGGAAGCGCUUGCCACCAGACUUGACGGCGGGGUUCCGCCGGUCUUCUGACCGGUCCACUCCCCGCCGGCAGGCCAACAUCGUCUGGGGCCGCCGGAUAAGACGUCAGGAAUGUAGCUCCUCGGAGUGUUAUAGCCUCUCGUGAUGCGGCGCGCCCCGGGCGAGGUCCGCGCUUCGGCAAGGAUGUUGGCGUAAUGGUUGUCAGCGGCCCGUCUUGAAACACGG
rnacentral:rRNA from 1 species